rnacentral:lncRNA from 1 species
AGAUUGAGAAGGAUGCCCCAUGUGCAAGUAGUGGGUCAAGCAGUUCUAGUAGCUCAAGUUCUGGCAGCGAUUCCUCUUCCAGUGGUAAAAUUCUGAUAUUUCUUUUUUUUCGUCAUUCAUUUUGGUAAAUCGGUAUGAUGUAUUAUUUACUCUUGCCAUGGUAAAUUUGCAGAUUCAGAUUCAGGAAGUUCGUCUGAGAGUGAUUCUGAUGAGGAUAGUGUACAGUCACCUUAUGUUGAAGCAAAAGAGAUAUAAGCCAUUUAUGGGUUUGAUUAAGAAAUGUCGGUGCUGCUGGGUUUUAGGUCAAUUGAAUAGUGAAUAUGGUGUUUUUGUAUUAGGUUUUUUCCUUGGCUGGUUUUUGUACAUCUGUUUUUGCAGCAGCUCAGAAGAUGAUCAUAGUUUGGCUGGGUUUGGCUUUUUGGAAUUAUGACUAGCUCAAGAUUAGGAAUUGAGAGGUUUUAGUUAACUUCAGAAUAGAUGUUACAAUUGGGGACUGACAACAAAGAUUUGGGUUUAUUUUUUGCUUGUAUACAGAAAACCACCUGCUGAUUUUCAGUGUUUAGGGAGGAUAGGAGUAACUUGUACAGUGAAGACAUGACUGAGUUUACGAAACAAAGUUGUAGUCUCUAUUGACCCAAAGAUGAAGAAAUCUCUCGUUUGGCUCUUCUAUUUGAAAGCUU